rnacentral:rRNA from 1 species
AUGCAAGUUGAACGGUAACAGAUCUUCGGAUGCUGACGAGUGGCGAACGGGUGCGUAACGCGUAUACAACCUACCUCUAACUGGGGAAUAGCCCGGGGAAACUCGGAUUAAUACCCCAUAACAUUAUGGAAUCGCAUGAUUUUAUAAUUAAAACUCCGGUGGUUAGAGAUGGGCAUGCGUCCUAUUAGCUAGUUGGUGAGGUAACGGCUCACCAAGGCUACGAUAGGUAGGGGUCUGAGAGGAUUAUCCCCCACACUGGUACUGAGACACGGACCAGACUCC